rnacentral:rRNA from 1 species
UACGGAGGGAGCUAGCGUUGUUCGGAAUUACUGGGCGUAAAGCGCGCGUAGGCGGCUUUGUAAGUUAGAGGUGAAAGCCCGGAGCUCAACUCCGGAACUGCCUUUAAAACUGCAUCGCUUGAAUCCAGGAGAGGUGAGUGGAAUUCCGAGUGUAGAGGUGAAAUUCGUAGAUAUUCGGAAGAACACCAGUGGCGAAGGCGGCUCACUGGACCGGUAUUGACGCUGAGGUGGCGAAAGCGUGGGGAGCAAACAGG